AGUGAACGCUGGCGGUAGGCCUAACACAUGCAAGUCGAACGGCAGCACAGGAGAGCUUGCUCUCUGGGUGGCGAGUGGCGGACGGGUGAGGAAUACAUCGGCAUCUACUUUUUCGUGGGGGAGAACGUAGGGAAACUUACGCUAAUACCGCAUACGACCUACGGGUGAAAGCAGGGGAUCUUCGGACCUUGCGCGAUUGAAUGAGCCGAUGUCGGAUUAGCUAUUUGGCGGGGUAAAGGCCCACCAAGGCGACGAUCCGUAGCUGGUCUGAGAGGAUGAUCAGCCAAACUGGAACUGAGACACGGUCCAGACUCCUACGGGAGGCAGCAGUGGGGAAUAUUGGACAAUGGGCGCAAGCCUGAUCCAGCCAUACCGCGUGGGUGAAGAAGGCCUUCGGGUUGUAAAGCCCUUUUGUUGGGAAAGAAAUCCAGCUGGUUAAUACCCGGUUGGGAUGACGGUACCCAAAGAAUAAGCACCGGCUAACUUCGUGCCAGCCGCCGCCGUAA
rnacentral:rRNA from 1 species